CAAGCUUUGUUUAUUCCAGAUGCUCUCACUUACUUUCAUCCAAUAACAUUUCUCUUUCACUUUUCCUUCACGUAGGUAUCACCUUCUUCCACUUUCUCUCUGGCCAAAAACACAACCUACUUCCACUGGAUAACCACUAAAACAACCUCCCUAAUUCACCAUAUCCGAUCCGUUAACAAAACUGGAUCUACUUCUCAUUUCAACACUAACACAAACUCAACAACAACCAACAACCGUGACAACAAUAUUCUUGUUCUCUCAUUUAUGCAACUAUGAGUUUGACCGAUCCGCACCACCAUUACCAAGUCGUGAUCUGGAUCCGUUGCCUUCAAAUCUACUGGACUUAAGUGCUCUACUAUUAGAGUAUUUGGUCAGUAUGAGUCUUUCAAACCCACAAUCAAAAGUAAGGUCAAAAAGCAUUUCGUCAGAGCUGAAAUGGAUUAAAGGCUUAAAUGCACUUUUGGUCCCUGUAAGUUAGCGAAUUUUUGAUUUUCGUCCCUGUAAGUUAGCGAGUUUUUGAUUUUCGUCCCUGUAAGUUAUUUUUUUUGGUUUUAGUCCCUAUAUCUUACUUUUUGCUUGAGGUUUAGUCCCUAAAGCCAAAAUUCGCAGGAAAAUCUGCAAGUUACCUGCGGAUUUUCCUGUGAAAUUUCCUGCGGAUUUUGAUUUUAGGGACUAAAACGAACGCGAAAGUGAAAUAUAGGGACUAAAACCAAAAAAAAUAACUUACAGGGACGAAAAUCAAAAACUCGCUAACUUACAGGGACGAAAAGUGCAUUUAAGCCAAAAUAUUAUUAUUACAGUGGCAAACAUGCUUUAUCUUGAUUCUUCCGCUGGAGUUGGUUUUUCUUACUCCACCAACAGUUCUGACUUCUGACAUUUGCUUAUUACUCAUGAAAUGACAGCGAUCAACUUGUUUUCCUUCGGCAUUGAUUCAACAAAUUCCUAGAGUUCAAGACAAAUGAGUUCUUCAUUGCAUGAAAGAGCUAUGCAGGUCACUUUAAAACUCAGCUUGCACAACUCAUCCUAGAAACAAAAUUCGAAGUCGCAAUCAAAAGCCAGGUUAAAAAGCAUUUGGUCAGAGCUGUAAUGCAAACGCAAGAGAUUAAUUUGAAAGUACUAAUAACAUCUUGUUUCUCUUUCACCAUAUUUUCUUCUCACCUUCUCUACUAUAUAAACACCCUCCUCUCCUGUACUUCCAUUAUUCUAAAUUAUUAUACUCAGUCUAACUCUCCUCCUCUCUACCACUUCUAUCUCAUAAUACAUUAUAUUUUGUUCCAAA